rnacentral:rRNA from 1 species
GACGAACGCUGGCGGCGUGCUUAACACAUGCAAGUCGAACGAAGUGGCGGACGGGUGAGUAACGCGUAAUCAACCUGCCCUUCCGAGGGGGACAACAGUUGGAAACGACUGCUAAUACCGCAUACUGAAGAAGGAGAUUGCGUGUGAUUAGCUAGUUGGGGGGGUAACGGCCCACCAAGGCGAGGAUCAGUAGCCGGUCUGGGAGGAUGAACGGCCACAUUGGGACUGGGACACGGCCCAGACUCCUACGGGAGGCAGCAGGGGGGAAUCUUCCGCCAUGGACGAAAGUCUGACGGAGCAACGCCGCGGGAGUGAUGACGGCCUUCGGGUUGUAAAGCUCUGUUAAUCGGGACGCGGUACCGGAAGAGAAAGCCACGGCUAACUACGUGCCAGCAGCCGCGGUAAUUC